rnacentral:ncRNA from 2 species
CAUAGAAAAGGCGAUGGAGCUCGCCAAAACCGCCCUACGUGAGUCAGAUUUGACCGCCUAAGGGCUAAUGGCUCCUACUCAUUC